GGUUCGAUCAUGGCUCAGAUUGAACGCUGGCGGGAUGCUUUACACAUGCAAGUCGAACGGCAUACGGACUUCGGUCUGGUGGCGAGUGGCGAACAGGUGAGUAAUGUAUCGGAACGUGCCUAGUAGCGGGGGAUAACUACUGUGGCGUAACUAAUACAUACGCCCUUCGAGAAAAGCGGGGGACCUUCGGGCCUCACUAUUAGAGCGGCCGAUAUCGGAUUGGCUAGUUGGUGAGGUGCGCAGCUCGCAGGCGGGCGUCAUGGCUGGUUUGAAGACGACCAGCCACACUGGGACUGAGACACGGCCCAAACUCCUACGGGAGGCAGCAGUGGGGAAUUUUGGACAAUGGGGGAAACCCCUGAUCCAGCCAUCGCGUGUGCGAUGAAGGCCUUCGGGUUGUAAAAAAGCACUUUUGGCGGAAAAACACGGCACGGAUAAUACCCCGUGCAGCUAAUGUUUCUGCCCAGAAUAAGCACCGGCUAACUACGUGCCAGCAGCCGCGGUAAUACGUAGGAGUGCGAAAGCGUUAAUCGGAAUUACUGGGCGUAAAGCGUGCGCAGGCGGUUCGGAAAGAAAGAUGUGAAAUCCCAGGCUUAACUUUGGAACUGCAUUUUAACUACCGAGCUAGAGUGUGUCAGAAGGUGGAAUUCCGCGUGUAGCAGUGAAAUGCGUAGAUAUGGAGGAACACCGAUGGCGAAGGCAGCCUCCUGGGAUAACACUGACGCUCGCCGCUGCGAAAGCGUGGGGAGCAAACGGGAUUGAUGCCUGGUAAUUCCGCCUAAACGAUGUCCAACUAGCUGUUGGAGACCACUUCGGGCCUUGGUAGCGCAACUAACGCGUGAAGUUGACCGCCUGGGGAGGAUACGGUCGCCAGAUUAAAACUCAAAGGAAUUGACGGGGACCCGCACAAGCGGUGGAUGAUGUGGAUUAAUUCGAUGCAACGCGAAAAACCUUACCUACCCUUGACAUGUGUCUGGAAUCCCAGAAGAGAUUUGGGAGUGCUCGCAAAGGGGAGCAACCGGAACACAGGUGCUGCAUGGCUGUCGUCAGCUCGUGUCGUGAGAUGUUGGGUUAAGUCCCGCAACGAGCGCAACCCUUGUCAUUAGUUGCUACGAAAGGGCGCUCUAAUGAGACUGCCGGUGACAAACCGGAGGAAGGUGGGGAUGACGCCAAGUCCUCAUGGCCCUUAUGGGUAGGGCUUCACGUCAUACAAUGGUCGGGACAGAGGGUCGCUGCAACCGCGAAGAGCCAAUCCCAGAAACCCGAUCGUAGUCCGGAUCGCAGUGCAACUCGGCUGCGUGAAGUCGGAAUCGCUAGUAAUCGCGGAUCAGCAUGUCGCGGUGAAUACGUUCCAGGUCUUAUACACACCGCCCGUCACACCAUGGGAAUUAGGUUUACCAGAAGUAGUUAGCCUAACCGUAAGGAGGGCGAUUACCACGGUAAGUUCGCAGCUGGGGGUGAAGUCAGCAGCUAAGGUAAA
rnacentral:rRNA from 1 species